UGGGCAGCACUGGAAAUAGAAGACCUCUAGUUACCAACAAAGCUGGUAUUGCAAGGGUAGCAGCAGUGCAGGCUUUCCACACUGCCCUAUUAAAUGUGUCCCAACCAUGACCUGAAGAAGUCAUCUCUAGGCCUAAAACAGGUGAGUUUUCACAUCCAUUCCACUUUUAGGCUCA
rnacentral:sRNA from 1 species